rnacentral:misc_RNA from 1 species
GGGGAACGCACUCAGGUUCCUCUGCGGCGGCUUCUGCAAUCCAACCUCCGAUUCCCUCCCUCCUCACGGCGUAUCUUCCGCCACCGUCGGCGUCUCCGCUCUCGCUCACGAUCUCUUCGAUUUCGAGAUCACAUCGCAGGUUCCUCAAGGACUUAGUAAGCAUGUGGUUUCGUCGAAGAAGGCACAGGCGAAUUGGUAUAGAAAAUUGGCUGAGGCUUGGAAGUCGGAGAAACCACCUCCACGAACUCCUGAAGAAGCAUCUAGGCUUGUGAUCCAGACUCUCAAGAGACACCAAAAGAAAGAUGUCGAGGGGUUGUUGACAUUCUAUGGUCUUCCUCUUCCUCAUACUCUCGUUGAACUUUCUGCUCCGGCCCCAACUGCCACCUCGCUACCCGACGGAGUCAAGUUUGAGCUGCAGACACUACCAGUUGAUGCCAAAGCUGUAGCAGAUGGUGAUACAGUGACAGUAUAUGUGAGUACAGAACACCCCAGAGAAUCCUCUUGUAUUCCAAAAGAGGUUUUAAAUGCAGCCACUCAAAGAUCACAAGCUAGAAACGCCAAGAACUAUGCAAAGGCUGAUGCUCUUCACAAGAUAAUAACGGAUGCUGGUUACAGGGUGCUUACUGUUCAGAAUGAGGAGUUUCUUGCAAGAAAAUAUAGAAUUCGUCUCAGAGGAAUAGAUGCACCAGAAAGUGCAAUG